UACGGAGGGUGCAAGCGUUAUCCGGAUUUAUUGGGCGUAAAGAGCGUGUAGGCGGCCUGAAAGGUCAGCUGUGAAAACUCGAGGCUCAACCUCGAGACGUCGGUUGAAACCAUCUGGCUAGAGUCCGGAAGAGGAGUGUGGAAUUCCCGGUGUAGCGGUGAAAUGCGCAGAUAUUGGGAGGAACACCAGUGGCGAAGGCGGCUACCUGGACCGGUUCUGACGCUGAGGCGCGAAAGCGUGGGGAGCAAACAGG
rnacentral:rRNA from 1 species